rnacentral:rRNA from 1 species
AUUGAACGCUGGCGGCAGGCUUAACACAUGCAAGUCGAACGAGUGGCGGACGGGUGAGUAAUGCUUGGAAAUCUGCCUGAUGGGGGGGGAUAACUACGGGAAACGUUAGCUAAUACCGCGUACCAUGGGAUGUGCCCAGGUGGGAUUAGCUAGUUGGGGGGGUAAAGGCUCACCAAGCCGACGAUCCCUAGCUGGUCUGAGAGGAUGACCAGCCACACUGGAACUGAGACACGGCCCAGACUCCUACGGGAGGCAGCAGUGGGGAAUAUUGCGCAAUGGGGGCAACCUGACGCAGCCAUGCCGCGUGAAUGAAGAAGGCCUUCGGGUUGUAAAGUUCUUUCGGUAGCGAGGCGUUAACUACAGAAGAAGCACCGGCUAACUCCGUGCCAGCCGCCGCGGUAAUAC